GGACUACAAGGGUUUCUAAUCCUGUUUGCUCCCCGCACUUUCGCGCCUCAGCGUCAGUCAUUGGCUAGAAGUUCGCCUUCGCCACCGGUGUUCUUCCUGAUAUCUACAGAUUUCACCCCUACACCAGGAAUUCCAACUCCCCCUCCAUGACUCUAGUUACACAGUUUCCAACGCAAUCUUAAAGUUAAGCCUUAACAUUUCACGUCAGACUUGAGUAACCGCCUACGCGCCCUUUACGCCCAAUAAUUCCGAACAACGCUCGCCCCUUACGUGUUACCGCGGCUGCUGGCAC
rnacentral:rRNA from 1 species